AGUUUGAUCCUGGCUCAGGAUGAACGCUAGCGGCAGGCCUAAUACAUGCAAGUCGAACGGUGGUAGCGAUACCAUAGUGGCGCACGGGUGCGUAACGCGUAGCCAACCUACCCGAAUCUGGGGGAUAGCCCGCCGAAAGGCGGAUUAAUACCGCAUAAGACUACAGAAUGGCAUCAUUUUGUAGUUAAAGAUUUAUUGGAUUCGGAUGGGGCUGCGUGCCAUUAGCUAGUUGGGGGGGUAACGGCCCACCAAGGCGACGAUGGCUAGGGGAGCUGAGAGGCUGGUCCCCCACACGGGCACUGAGAUACGGGCCCGACUCCUACGGGAGGCAGCAGUAGGGAAUAUUGGGCAAUGGGCGAGAGCCUGACCCAGCCAUGCCGCGUGCCGGAUGAAGGCCUUCUGGGUCGUAAACGGCUUUUUUCCGGGAAGAACCGGUUCCUUGCGAGGGGCUCUGACGGUACCGGGAGAAUAAGCACCGGCUAACUCCGUGCCAGCAGCCGCGGUAAUACGGAGGGUGCGAGCGUUGUCCGGAUUUAUUGGGUUUAAAGGGUGCGUAGGCGGCCGCGUAAGUCUGGGGUGAAAGCCCGUUGCUCAACAACGGAACUGCCCUGGAAACUGCGUGGCUUGAGUCCAGACGAGGUUGGCGGAAUGGGCGGUGUAGCGGUGAAAUGCAUAGAUACCGUCCAGAACACCGAUUGCGAAGGCAGCUGACUAGGCUGGUACUGACGCUGAGGCACGAAAGCGUGGGGAGCGAACAGGAUUAGAUACCCUGGUAGUCCACGCCGUAAACGAUGGAUACUCGCUGCCAGCGAUAGAUAGUUGGUGGCUUAGCGAAAGCGUUAAGUAUCCCACCUGGGGAGUACGCCCGCAAGGGUGAAACUCAAAGGAAUUGACGGGGGCCCGCACAAGUGGUGGAGCAUGUGGUUUAAUUCGAUAAUACGCGAGGAACCUUACCUAGGCUAGAAUGCGCGUGACCGGUUCGGAGACGAACCUUUCCUUCGGGACACAAAGCAAGGUGCUGCAUGGCUGUCGUCAGCUCGUG
rnacentral:rRNA from 1 species